rnacentral:sRNA from 1 species
GUACGCAAUGUAGAGGUCUGCCGUGAU